AUCCAGCUGACGAGUCCCAAAUAAGACGAGAUGCGCUUCCUGGAU
rfam:Schistosoma mansoni strain Puerto Rico chromosome 4, complete genome